AUGAAAACGAAUAUAUCACCUCAUAUAAUCUCAGGGAUAUGGCCUGAACGUUUCUACCUAACGACCGUAAAUUGUUAGACUAUGGGGAAAGACAAAAGCGCU
rnacentral:ncRNA from 2 species